rnacentral:snRNA from 1 species
AAAUCAAAAACUCAUCUGGGUUU